CUGGCUCAGGACGAACGCUGGCGGCGUGCCUAACACAUGCAAGUCGAACGGAGUUAAACGCUGAUUUGAAGAUAGCUUGCUAUAAGAUUUUCUUGUUUAACUUAGUGGCGGACGGGUGAGUAACGCGUGAGCAACCUGCCUUACAGAGGGGGACAACAGUUGGAAACGACUGCUAAUACCGCAUAAUGUGGAGAGAGGACAUCCUUUUUUCACCAAAGGAGCAAUUCGCUGUAAGAUGGGCUCGCGUCCGAUUAGCCAGUUGGCGGGGUAACGGCCCACCAAAGCGACGAUCGGUAGCCGGACUGAGAGGUUGAACGGCCACAUUGGGACUGAGACACGGCCCAGACUCCUACGGGAGGCAGCAGUGGGGGAUAUUGCACAAUGGAGGGAACUCUGAUGCAGCAACGCCGCAUGAGGGAAGAAGGUUUUCGGAUUGUAAACCUCUGUUUUUAGUGAAGAAACAAAUGACGGUAGCUAAAGAGGAAGCCACGGCUAACUACGUGCCAGCAGCCGCGGUAAUACGUAGGUGGCAAGCGUUGUCCGGAAUUACUGGGUGUAAAGGGUGCGCAGGCGGGACUGCAAGUUGGAUGUGAAAUACCGGAGCUUAACUCCGGAGCUGCAUCCAAAACUGUGGUUCUUGAGUGGAGUAGAGGUAAGCGGAAUUCCGAGUGUAGCGGUGAAAUGCGUAGAUAUUCGGAGGAACACCAGUGGCGAAGGCGGCUUACUGGGCUCUAACUGACGCUGAGGCACGAAAGCAUGGGUAGCAAACAGGAUUAGAUACCCUGGUAGUCCAUGCUGUAAACGAUGAAUGCUAGGUGUGGGAGGACUGACCCCUUCCGUGCCGGAGUAAGCACAAUAAGCAUUCCACCUGGGGAGUACGACCGCAAGGUUGAAACUCAAAGGAAUUGACGGGGGCCCGCACAAGCAGUGGAGUAUGUGGUUUAAUUCGAAGCAACGCGAAGAACCUUACCAGGUCUUGACAUCCGACUAACGAAGUAGAGAUACAUUAGGUGCCCUUCGGGGAAAGUUGAGACAGGUGGUGCAUGGUUGUCGUCAGCUCGUGUCGUGAGAUGUUGGGUUAAGUCCCGCAACGAGCGCAACCCCUGCCGAUAGUUGCUACGCAAGAGCACUCUAUCGGGACCGCUACCGAC
rnacentral:rRNA from 1 species